GGGGAUUUAGCUCAGUGGCAUAAGCACCUGCCUUGCAAGCAGGAGGUCGUGAGUUCGACUCCUGGUACCGG
rnacentral:tRNA from 1 species